UACGUAGGUGGCAAGCGUUGUCCGGAAUUAUUGGGCGUAAAGCGCGCGCAGGCGGUCCUUUAAGUCUGAUGUGAAAGCCCACGGCUCAACCGUGGAGGGUCAUUGGAAACUGGGGGACUUGAGUACAGAAGAGAAGAGUGGAAUUCCAUGUGUAGCGGUGAAAUGCGUAGAGAUGUGGAGGAACACCAGUGGCGAAGGCGGCUCACUGGCCCGGUACUGACGCUGAGGCACGAAAGCGUGGGGAGCAAACAGG
rnacentral:rRNA from 1 species